rnacentral:tRNA from 1 species
GCCGGGGUGGCGAAAUGGCAGACGCACCAGCCUUAGGAGCUGGCGGGAGCAAUCCCAUGGAGGUUCAAGUCCUCUCCCCGGCACCA